GACGAACGCUGGCGGCGUGCUUAACACAUGCAAGUCGAACGGAAAGGCCCUGCUUUUGUGGGGUGCUCGAGUGGCGAACGGGUGAGUAACACGUGAGUAACCUGCCCUUGACUUUGGGAUAACUUCAGGAAACUGGGGCUAAUACCGGAUAGGAGCUCCUGCUGCAUGGUGGGGGUUGGAAAGUUUCGGCGGUUGGGGAUGGACUCGCGGCUUAUCAGCUUGUUGGUGGGGUAGUGGCUUACCAAGGCUUUGACGGGUAGCCGGCCUGAGAGGGUGACCGGCCACAUUGGGACUGGGAUACGGCCCAGACUCCUACGGGAGGCAGCAGUGGGGAAUAUUGCACAAUGGGCGGAAGCCUGAUGCAGCAACGCCGCGUGCGGGAUGACGGCCUUCGGGUUGUAACCGCUUUCGCCUGUGACGAAGCGUGAGUGACGGUAAUGGGUAAAGAAGCACCGGCUAACUACGUG
rnacentral:rRNA from 1 species